UUGAGGCAAAGUACAAGCAGCUCGAAAAGAUCGGAGAGGGAGGCUGCGGAUCUGUGUAUGCUGGCUACCGCAUAGCAGAUUCUUUACCUGUGGCUAUUAAACACAUCAAGGGACCAGAUAAAGGGUUGGAACUAAAGAUCACCAGGCUCCCUGUAGAAG